rnacentral:rRNA from 1 species
GAUGAACGCUGGCGGCGUGCUUAACACAUGCAAGUCGAACGAAGCACUUUUUUACAAUUCCUUCGGGAUGACGAGAAAGUGACUGAGUGGCGGACGGGUGAGUAACGCGUGGGUAACCUGCCCUAUACAGGGGGACAACAGUUGGAAACGACUGCUAAUACCGCAUAAGCGCACGGUAUCGCAUGAUACAGUGUGAAAAACUCCGGUGGUAUAGGAUGGACCCGCGUCUGAUUAGCCAGUUGGCGGGGUAACGGCCCACCAAAGCGACGAUCAGUAGCCGGACUGAGAGGUUGAACGGCCACAUUGGGACUGAGACACGGCCCAGACUCCUACGGGAGGCAGCAGUAGGGAAUUUUCGGCAAUGGGGGAAACCCGUGACCGAGCAACGCCGCGUGAGUGAUGAAAGUAC